AGGAAAUAAAGCUACUAGUCUGAGAUUAGUACGCAAGAAACGAUCCAACAGUGAUAAUAAGGAAUGCCUCUUUACAAAUGCAUUUUACAGGGCCAGAGAAAAGGUUAUAAGUGCUUUGAAAAAAACUGAUGAUUAUAUUGGCUCACUCUGUCAAUUUCAUGUGCUUUCAGUAAUCCUAGGCAUUUUAGGCACCAUAACCACUGCAGCUCAAUGGCACUUUCAUGGUGCCAGGGAAGCCC